UAGUCCACGCCGUAAACGAUGGGCACUUGGCGUUGCGGGUAUUGACCCCUGCAGUGCCGGAGUUAACGCAUUAAGUGCCCCGCCUGGGGAGUACGGUCGCAAGAUUAAAACUCAAAGGAAUCGACGGGGGCCCGCACAAGCGGUGGAGCAUGUGGUUUAAUUCGACGCAACGCGAAGAACCUUACCUGGUCUUGACAUCCCGAGAAUCCUUCAGAGAUGAAGGAGUGCCCUUCGGGGAAUUCGGUGACAGGUGCUGCAUGGCUGUCGUCAGCUCGUGUCGUGAGAUGUUGGUGUUAAGUCCCGCAACGAGCGCAACCCCUGCCUCUAGUUGCCAGCGGUUCGGCCGGGAACUCUAGAGGGACUGCCGGUGAUAAACCGGAGGAAGGUGGGGACGACGUCAAGUCCUCAUGGCCCUUACGACCAGGGCUACACACGUGCUACAAUGGCUGCUACAACGUGUUGCGAACUCGCGAGAGCAAGCUAAUCACAAAAAAGCAAGCCUCAGUUCGGAUUGG
rnacentral:rRNA from 1 species